AGUGAUCCGCCCAUCUCGGCCUCCCAAAGUGCUGGAAUUAUAGGUGUGAUCCACUGUGCCCAACCCUCUUGAUAAUUUUUAUUCUUGUUUCUUCUUAUCUGUGGGACUCCAGUUCGAAUGGGGUUGGAAUUGUGGUGUUCAGUUUUAUACUAGUAUUUUACCCAAGUGUGUCAUGGCUUUUUCUAAUCAUUGUAAUAUCCACAGAAAUGCUGGAAGGGUAAUGGAAUAACAGGUAAAUUUGCUGUCAUUUUAUGCCACAUCCUCCUCUCUACUUUGCUUCUUGAUACAGAUUAUAAAGGUAAUUGUGAAAACAGCUGGACCUCAGAAGGUUGAGCUAAGAUUCUUUUUUUGGCAACCUGCAAGUAAUGUUUCAUUUUUUUUAUUACAUGAUCUCUUUCCCCAUAUAGUUGGCAGAUGUUUUUUUCCCCUUUCCUACCUUAAACUUUUUUGUUUGGAGUACAGUCUAAAACCAACAUCAGUUAGCCUUGAUUUUCUUUCUUUCUUUUUUUUUUUUUUUUGGACAACCACCUGGUUCAUUGAUAAGAGUAACAAGUUCGGAACUAAGAGGUAUGUUACAAGCUGCCCUUAACAACACCUGAAAACCCAAGACUCAUCUGGAGGCUUUGUCAGUAGUAAGGUAGGUUUUGUGUGUGUGUGUGUGUGUGUGUGUGUGUGUAGAGAGAGAGAGAGAGAGAGAGAUGGAAUAGGGUGAAGGUGAAGAAAUUGACUUGUGCCUGUUUUCAGAUAAAGGAGUAAAGUGAUCUUUUAUGAACUGUAACUGUCUUGAAAGAGAAAUUGAUCAUCAGGUGGUCAAGUACUCUUGGAAUGUCUCUUGGCUGUUUACUGUGGCCUCUUUACAAUGGUGAGACUAUUUCUACCCUCUACUUUCCAAUAUUCUUUUAUUCCCUUAUUGGAUAAUGCCAGUGUAAACAGCCCUGAUACUAGAUGUACCUAAAAAGAGGUAUAAGCCAAGUCAUUGUUCAGUGUAGUCAUUUCCUAGUAUGUUUAUAUUUUGUCACACAUCAGAAUGUAUAUUUUAUAGAGCAUGUGUUUGUCUACUUGUCUGUCUACUGUAAUAUGUCUUUAAUAAAGCUAAAGUACAUUAUGA